GUUGGUGGGGUAAUGGCUCACCAAGGCAACGAUGCGUAGCCGACCUGAGAGGGUGAUCGGCCACAUUGGGACUGAGACACGGCCCAAACUCCUACGGGAGGCAGCAGUAGGGAAUCUUCCGCAAUGGACGAAAGUCUGACGGAGCAACGCCGCGUGAGUGAAGAAGGCCUUCGGGUCGUAAAACUCUGUUGCCGGGGAAGAACAAGUGCCGUUCGAACAGGGCGGCGCCUUGACGGUACCCGGCCAGAAAGCCACGGCUAACUACGUGCCAGCAGCCGCGGUAAUACGUAGGUGGCAAGCGUUGUCCGGAAUUAUUGGGCGUAAAGCGCGCGCAGGCGGCUUCUUAAGUCUGAUGUGAAAUCUUGCGGCUCAACCGCAAGCGGUCAUUGGAAACUGGGAGGCUUGAGUGCAGAAGAGGAGAGUGGAAUUCCACGUGUAGCGGUGAAAUGCGUAGAGAUGUGGAGGAACACCAGUGGCGAAGGCGGCUCUCUGGUCUGUAACUGACGCUGAGGCGCGAAAGCGUGGGGAGCAAACAGGAUUAGAUACCCUGGUAGUCCACGCCGUAAACGAUGAGUGCUAAGUGUUAGAGGGUUUCCGCCCUUUAGUGCUGCAGCUAACGCAUAAGCACUCCGC
rnacentral:rRNA from 1 species